rnacentral:lncRNA from 1 species
CAACAACCCAUCGUUCUGGAGAAGUUAGCAGGCACCCUCAACAUGUGAUCGUAAAAUUCCUCGGUGCUCAGAGACACUUCCCAGCAGCUGGAGAAAUCGUGUGGAUCUCUGGGUGGUUGGUGGCGUGUCAUUGACUCUCUGGAGGACCCUUCACAUAUGUGCUCCUGAUGGAAAUUCAGGAUGCUCCUUCUACUUUACCGAGGACCCUGCCUAACAUGUAGGACAUGGCGUUGGCAUGAACCGAACCUGCAGAGACCAACGCCCGCGCCAUCCGUGCUCAAGGUGAGCCGGAAAAUCCGAGCUCAUGAAUCGUGGGUGGAUUUAUCCUGUGCUUGUGUCUGAGCUGAAAUACCUAUCACCCUCUCCAUCGUGCUAAGGUCAGCCCUAAGUAGGCUCAGAUCUUGCAUUCGUCAGGGU